UACGAAGGGGGCGAGCGUUGUUCGGAAUUACUGGGCGUAAAGGGCGCGCAGGCGGCCUUAGAAGUCAGAUGUGAAAGCCCCGGGCUCAACCUGGGAAUGGCAUUUGAUACUCUGAGGCUGGAGUACGGGAGAGGAGAGUGGAAUUCCCAGUGUAGAGGUGAAAUUCGUAGAUAUUGGGAAGAACACCGGUGGCGAAGGCGGCUCUCUGGGACGGUACUGACGCUGAGACGCGAAAGCGUGGGGAGCGAACAGG
rnacentral:rRNA from 1 species